UGGAGGAUGAAGAAUCAGACGGAGAAGCGUUUUGAUUAUCUGAACAUUUGAUCAAGCAAGAUCACAAGCGCCAUAGCCACCGGCGUAUCCAUCUCCGGCUGCACAAUGAGGCGGAACACGUCCACACCUAGAGCCACUCCCGCCAUCGCCUCUUUCCGCUUUAUCUCCGCCACGCACCUCCGCCUCUCGUCGUACACUGCGCAGCACCGCUGCGAGUACGACCCUUCGAUCUCGUACAUCGCCUUCCUCAUGCUGCUGCUGCUGCCUCCACUCACUCGUGCCAGCGACUUCGAGCUCAGCAGAUUCAGAUGCUUCCUCAUCUGAAACCGCGGAUUCGCCGC
rnacentral:lncRNA from 1 species